AGUGAACGCUGGCGGCGUGCCUAAUACAUGCAAGUCGAACGUGAAAGCCUUCGGGUGAGUAAAGUGGCGCACGGGUGAGUAAUAGUUGAGAACAUGCCCUGAGGUGGGGAAUAACAGUUGGAAACGACUGCUAAUACCGCAUGGUUUCGAAAGAAUAAAGGUGGGGAUCGUAAGACCUACCGCCACAGGAUUGGCUCAACUCCCAUUAGCUAGUUGGCAGGGUAAUGGCCUACCAAGGCAACGAUGGGUAACUGGUCUGAGAGGAUGAUCAGUCACACUGGAACUGAGACACGGUCCAGACUCCUACGGGAGGCAGCAGUAGGGAAUAUUGCACAAUGGAGGAAACUCUGAUGCAGCAACGCCGCGUGAGUGAAGAAGGCCCUUGGGUUGUAAAGCUCUUUAGCCUGGAAAGAAGUGUCCGGACGUAAACAAUGACCGGAUGUGACGGUACCAGGAGAAUAAGCACCGGCUAAUUUCGUGCCAGCCGCCGCUGUAACAC
rnacentral:rRNA from 1 species